UCAAAACCUAUACCUUAAAAUCAUGCUCAUACAACCAAAGCGCACAUAUCAUAGAUAUACAUGAUUUCCAACAAACUGGACCUUUUCCGCAAGGCAUGUUAGUCGACUAUCCGAUUUAUUUAAUCGACUAACCUAAUGACCGUUGCCUAAGUUAAUCGAUUAUCACUUUAGUUAAUCGAUUAACCUUAUGUCCGUUGUCUGUUCA
rnacentral:lncRNA from 1 species